UCCCAUGUGGUCUAGUGGUUAGGAGCUGGCGCUCUCACCGCCAUGGCCGGGGUUCAAUUCCCGGCAUGGGAA
rnacentral:tRNA from 1 species